rnacentral:sRNA from 1 species
UCGAAGGAAAAACAUGAUGGACUUCGC